rnacentral:rRNA from 1 species
UCACCAGACUCCUACGGGAGGCAGCAGUGGGGGAUAUUGCACAAUGGGGGAAACCCUGAUGCAGCGACGCCGCGUGUGGGAAGACGGUCCUCUGGAUUGUAAACCACUGUCCCCAGGGACGAAGAUGACGGUACCUGACCAAGAAGCUCCGGCUAAAUACGUGCCAGCAGCCGCGGUAAUACGUAUGGAGCAAGCGUUAUCCGGAUUUACUGGGUGUAAAGGGAGCGCAGGCGGCCUUGCAAGUCUGAUGUGAAAGGCCGGGGCCCAACCCCGGGAGUGCAUUGGAAACUGCGAGGCUGGAGUGUCGGAGAGGCAGGCGGAAUUCCUAGUGUAGCGGUGAAAUGCGUAGAUAUUAGGAGGAACACCAGUGGCGAAGGCGUCUUACUGGACCGAAACUGACGUUGAGGCUCGAAAGCGUGGGGAGCAAACAGGAUUAGAUACCCGGGUA